UUAAGCAUAUCCAUAAGCGCAGGAAAAGAAACCAACAGGGAUUGCCUCAGUAACGGCGAGUGAAGCGGCAACAGCUCAAAUUUGAAAUCUGGCCUCUCGGGGUCCGAGUUGUAAUUUGUAGAGGAUGUUUCGGGUACCGCCUCGGUUUAAAUUUCUUGGAACAGAAUGUCAGAGAGGGUGAGAAUCCCGUCUUGGACCGGCGGUAGGGCCUAUGUGAAACUCCUUCGACGAGUCGAGUUGUUUGGGAAUGCAGCUCAAAAUGGGUGGUAAAUUUCAUCUAAAGCUAAAUAUUGGCCAGAGACCGAUAGCGCACAAGUAGAGUGAUCGAAAGAUGAAAAGCACUUUGAAAAGAGAGUUAAACAGUAUGUGAAAUUGUUGAAAGGGAAGCGCUUGCAACCAGACUUGAGCGCGGCGGUUCCCCCUUGCUUCUGCUUGGGUUACUCCGCCGUGUCCAGGCCAACAUCGGUUCUGGGGGUCGGUCAAAGGCCUUGGGAAUGUAUCUACCCACGGGUAGACUUAUAGACCAGGGUGUCAUGUGACCUCCCGGGACCGAGGAACGCGCUUCGGCUCGGAUGUUGGCGUAAUGGUUGUCAGCGACCCGUCUUGAAACACGGACCAAGGAGUCUAACAUCUAUGCGAGUGUUUGGGUGUCAAACCCGGAACGCGGAAUGAAAGUGAACGGAGGUAGGAAGCUUCGGCUGCACUAUCGACCGAUCCUGAAGUUUACGGAUGGAUUUGAGUAAGAGCAUAGCUGUUGGGACCCGAAAGAUGGUGAACUAUGCCUGAAUAGGGUGAAGCCAGAGGAAACUCUGGUGGAGGCUCGCAGCGGUUCUGACGUGCAAAUCGAUCGUCAAAUUUGGGUAUAGGGGCGAAAGACUAAUCGAACCAUCUGGUAGCUGGUUCCUGCCGAAU
rnacentral:rRNA from 1 species